GUAUCACGAAAGUUUGAUUUCUGAGGGAUACAGGGCACUUAUAUACAGUGGAGAUCAUGAUUCACGCGUACCUUUACACUGGCACUGAAGCAUGGACCAGGUCACUCGGAUGCAAAAUUGUCGACGAAUGGAGGUCGUAAAUCUCCAACGAGCAGGUCGCUGGGUAUCUGCAAGGGUAUGACCACAA